CCUAAAGGCAAAACCUGAAUCCUUACACACUUUGCACAUUGUACCUAGGCAUCUUAUAUUUCAUUUCUCUGAACGUGUUAGGCACUGGCAGUGUUAUUUUUAGGAGCUCUUCUAUUGCUGUAACUCUGUGGUGCCUGAGAAGUGAAAUACAUUACAAAAGGCAUACGUGUUGGAAGAAGAACACUAUUUUGGGCCUCUAUCUCACACUCUCAGAUAGGUUGUCUAAUGUCCUUAUUUUGGGAGCACCAGAGACAAGUACCCAGAAAUCACAAGACCUCAUCAUGAACUGGCACCAAGCUAAC